AAGGAGAAUGAGAAGUAAAACUCUUGCAGCUGGGGAUGCAGCUCAGUGAUGACAGUACUGGCCUGGCAUGUGCACGGCCCGGCCGAGUCAGACCCCAGACACUAGGAAAAGAAGCUGCUGGCUAGAAAGGCCAUUCUCACUGCCUCCUCGUCUCAUCUCUGAGGCAGGCCUGCAGCUUACUAUAUAGACCGGCCUGCCCCAGCCUCCACAGCACGGGAAUUAAAGAUGUACAAAACGAAACCUCAACUUUUAAGUGGACUGGAGAGAGAUCUCUGUGGUUAAAGUACAUGCCAUGCAAGUAAAAGCAAGUUCGAUUCCUACAAGAUGGAUACGGAGCUAUCUCCAAUCUCAGCACUCCUACAGCAAGGGGGGGGCAGAGAAAGGAGGACCCAAAGCUUAUGGGUCUGGUAGCCUGGCGCACAGGCAAAGUAGAAGAGGUCCAAGACCAACACCCAAAGUGAAUGAAUGGAAUGGCAUACCCAGGCCCUCCUCUCCCCAAGAGAAGAUAAACGGGUGAUCUUAUGACUUUGAGUACAGGCUCUAGUCUGUUAUUAGGCUAUCUGACCCAAAACAAAUUACAUGAAUUCUUGUGAAA